ACCGCCUUGGGAUAGGCUUGCGUCUGAUUAGCUAGUUGGUGUGGUAAUGGCACACCAAGGCUACGAUCAGUAACUGGUCUGAGAGGAUGAUCAGUCACACUGGAACUGAGACACGGUCCAGACUCCUACGGGAGGCAGCAGUGAGGAAUAUUGGGCAAUGCACGAAAGUGUGACCCAGCAACGCCGCGUGGAGGAUGAAGGUAUUCUAUAUCGUAAACUCCUGUGAGAGCAGACGAAAGACAGAUUAUUAAUUUGGAUGACUGUAUGCUCAGAGGAAGCCCCGGCUAACUACGUG
rnacentral:rRNA from 1 species